GAUCAGAGAAUCACGGAAGAGUUUGGCUGGGAAGGGUCCUUAAAGACCAUCCGGUUUCAUCCCUCGCAUCCCCCGGCGCGGCAGGGCUGGUCCUGCGGAGGGGACCCGGAGCAGGGCGGGGGGAGGAUCCCAGCCCGGCCCCUUCCAUCCCCCGCCGCUGCCGGCCGCGCUCGGAGCCGAGGAAAUCCCAAAUCCCACCGAUCCCGCACCGCCAUCCCAACUUUCCCACGGCCGGGACGCGGCUGGCGGCCCCGCCGGAGCCGGGCCCGGGAGGGGCUCGGGGGGUCCCGGCCCGGUCCGGCCGCGCUCCGCCCCCCGCGGGGCCGGGGCGGGACCCGGGGCCGGGCGGAACCCGCGCCCAGACGUCCCGGCGGCGGCGAGCGGGGCUCCGAGCUAGCGGGGAGCCGGGAUCCGAGCUGCCUCCUGCCGCUCCAUGGCCCCGGCCGCGGCGGCGGAGCCCAGAGCCCGCCGCCCCCGGGGCCCCGGCCCCGGCCCCGGCCCCGGCGGGAGGCGCACGGCUCGGCGGCCGCCGGUGAGUGCGGGGACGGGGGGCGGCGGGGGGAGCACGGACACGAGCAGCGCCCGGACCCACCCACAUCCCCCCCGGGCACACCGAGCACCCCCCGGCACCCCCGGGCACUCGCCACACGUUCCCACUCGCAUGCACAGCCGGCCGGGCACACACACUCCUGUGCAAACCCACACGCAUCUUCACACGGCCCAAACCCCGGAGCUGGGCACAGCUGCCCAAUCCCAGCACUUUUUGGAAUUCCUGAGGCUCCUGGUAGAGGAUUGGGGCGAGGAGUAACCCCGCAGCUGAUCCCCACGCAGGGUUUGAUGGAGACACUGGAGAGAGAAGUGAGUGGAAUUGAUCUCAGUAGAUCCUGGAGUUUGGGAUCGGGAGCUCGGCUUUGUGGCACGGAGGGGUCAGCGACCGCAGCCAGACCCACCACUGCCUCAUCUCUAAGUGGGUUUGGAUCCUUGCUCAUGAGAUCAGCGAGAUGUGUCUUUUGCAGGGUAGAGUAG
rnacentral:lncRNA from 1 species